rnacentral:rRNA from 1 species
GAUGAACGCUGGCGGCGCGCCUAAUACAUGCAAGUCGAGCGAAUGGAUUAAGAGCUUGCUCUUAUGAAGUUAGCGGCGGACGGGUGAGUAACACGUGAGUAACCUGCCCAUAAGACUGGGAUAACUCCGGGAAACCGGGGCUAAUACCGGAUAACAUUUUGAACCGCAUGGUUCGAAAUUGAAAGGCGGCUUCGGCUGUCACUUAUGGAUGGACCCGCGUCGCAUUAGCUAGUUGGUGAGGUAACGGCUCACCAAGGCAACGAUGCGUAGCCGACCUGAGAGGGUGAUCGGCCACACUGGGACUGAGACACGGCCCAGACUCCUACGGGAGGCAGCAGUAGGGAAUCUUCCGCAAUGGACGAAAGUCUGACGGAGCAACGCCGCGUGAGUGAUGAAGGCUUUCGGGUCGUAAAACUCUGUUGUUAGGGAAGAACAAGUGCUAGUUGAAUAAGCUGGCACCUUGACGGUACCUAACCAGAAAGCCCCGGCUAACUUCGUGCCAGCAGCCGCCGUAA